rnacentral:rRNA from 1 species
CCUACGGGUGGCUGCAGUGAGGAAUAUUGGUCAAUGAGCGCGAGCCUGAACCAGCCAAGUAGCGUGAAGGAUGACUGCCCUACGGGUUGUAAACUUCUUUUAUAAAGGAAUAAAGUGAGGCACGUGUGCCUUUUUGUAUGUACUUUAUGAAUAAGGAUCGGCUAACUCCGUGCCAGCCGCCGCGGUAAUACGGAGGAUACGAGCGUUAUCCGGAUUUGUUGGGUUUAAAGGGAGCGUAGAGGGGUUGUUAAGUCAGUUGUGAAAGUUUGCGGCUCAACCGUAAAAUUGCAAUUGAUACUGGCAGUCUUGAGUACAGUAGAGGUGAGCGGAAUUCGUGGUGUAGCGGUGAAAUGCUUAGAUAUCACGAAGAACUCCGAUUGCGAAGGCAGUUCACUGGACUGCAACUGACACUGAGGCUCGAAAGUGUGGGUAUCAAACAGGAUUAGAUACCCUAGUAGUA